GAGCUGGGGCAGGCUGGAUUGCAGUGUGUGGAGGUGCCGGCGCAUGGCUGCGAGUGUCUGUUUCAGGAGUCGCAGGGAGAAACGCUUCUGAAGGGUCUGAAUAUUCUGGGUGUAGAGACAACAUCAGGUGAAGAUGUGCGUGAUUUCAGCAAGGUGCUGAAAAAUAAGUUCAGAUCAAAGAAACACUUUGCCAAACAUCCUCGCUUGAGUUAUUUACAAGUACAAACAGGUCUAGAAGGCGAGAACCUUGAGAGGACACAAUCAUCGCCUUGGAAGCUUCAUCACGAUACUACUUUGCAUUUCUGAAGAGGGAAGAAGAAAUCAACAUGCAAAUUCAAUUCCAUGGUUUUGGAAGUCCCAUUGAGAACACGAUUCAUUUGCGCCGGCAUAAUGCUCUGACCGAGAAAGAAUUGAAGAGCCAGGACUGAGGGAAUCCUGCAUCGUUACGGUGUCAUCGUUGAGGGAGUGCUGCACUGUUGAAGGGCCGAUAGUAAGGGAGUGUGACCCUGUCAGAGUGUCAUUCCCAAAGGUGGGCUACAGUAUCAAAAGUACCACGCUGAGUAUUGUUAUCCUGAUAGUUCUUUCGUAUCAGUCCGUGUGUAUUCCUGGGCAAAUGUGCUCGUGUGGUCUCAGGAGUUGUGGAGGUCACGGCUCUGGGACAGCCGUUUCAUCGCCCGAUGCUGCAGGAAAAAAGCAAUGAAAGUGCCGUUAAUUUUUUGCAUGGCGAGCUGCUGCAUACUAACCGGUCUCACACCAUUACCAACACCUUGCCCUUGUGAAGGCAGAUAUGGAUAAAGUUUUCAAAGCUGAUAGAAGAUUGAAACCACUCUAAUCCUGUGACGAUGAACCUGCCCCGGAAGAGAGAGCCCAGAGAAUUGCCAAAGCUCUCCGCAAACAGUCAACAGAAGUGAAGGAAAAUUGGGAACAACUGAAAAUCCGUGCGAGCAACUGGCAGAAACAGGUGGAAAAGGCGUUGGAGAAACUUCAAGAACUGCAGAAAGUUCUUGAUGAUCAUGAGGCUCAUGAACAGCUGAGGGGGUCCACACUGAUUGGCAACCUGUGAGUGACCUGCUUAUUGACUCAUUGCAGGAUCACAUUGAUAAAACCACAGGUAAGGACUAUCUUCAAAAUCUGAGAUUGGGUUUUGAAAGACAGCAGCCUUUGUUUUGGAGAGAUAAUGGGAACUGCAGAUGCUGGAGAAUGCGAGAUAACAACGUGUGGAGCUGGAUGAAGACAGCAGGCCAAGCAGCAUCUUAGGAGCACAAAAGCUGACGUUUCGGGCCGAGAACCUUCUUCAGAAAAUGGGGAGGGGGUGCGGGUUCUGAAAUAAAUAGGGAGAGAGGGGGAGGCGGAUGGAAGAUGGAUGGAGGAGAAGAUAGGUGGAGAGGAGAGUAAGGGUACGGAGGCAGGGAGGGGAUAGGUCAGUCUGGGGAGGCGGGACAGGUCAAGGGAGCAGGAUGAGGGGAAA